rnacentral:rRNA from 1 species
UACGUAGGGUGCAAGCGUUGUCCGGAAUUAUUGGGCGUAAAGAGCUCGUAGGCGGCCUGUCGCGUCGGGCUGUGAAAAACUCAGGGGCUCAACCCCUGAGCCUGCAGUCGAUACGGGCAGGCUAGAGUCCGGCAGGGGGAGACUGGAAUUCCUGGUGUAGCGGUGAAAAUGCGCAGAUAUCAGGAGGAACACCGAUGGCGAAGGCAGGUCUCUGGGCCAUUUACUGACACUGAGAAAGCGAAAAGCAUGGGGGAGCGAACAGG